UUUCCGUAGGUGAACCUGCGGAAGGAUCAUUACCAAAUUUUGGUGUCCGGCGGAUUGGUGGUCAGCUUGCUGAGCAUUCGAUCCGGCGGUAUCCUUUCUACCCUUUGUCUAUACGUACCCUUUGUUGUUUCCUCGGCAGGUCUCCCUGCCGCUAGGAACCCACCAAACUCUUUUGCAAUAGCAUCAAUUCUUCUGAUAAUAACCUAAAUCGUUUACAACUUUCAACAAUGGAUCUCUUGGUUCUGGCAUCGAUGAAGAACGCAGC
rnacentral:misc_RNA from 1 species